rnacentral:rRNA from 1 species
AUAGACCCGAAACCCGGUGAUCUAGCCAUGGGCAGGUUGAAGGUUGGGUAACACUAACUGGAGGACCGAACCGACUAAUGUUGAAAAAUUAGCGGAUGACUUGUGGCUGGGGGUGAAAGGCCAAUCAAACCGGGAGAUAGCUGGUUCUCCCCGAAAGCUAUUUAGGUAGCGCCUCGUGAAUUCAUCUCCGGGGGUAGAGCACUGUUUCGGCAAGGGGGUCAUCCCGACUUACCAACCCGAUGCAAACUGCGAAUACCGGAGAAUGUUAUCACGGGAGACACACGGCGGGUGCUAACGUCCGUCGUGAAGAGGGAAACAACCCAGACCGCCAGCUAAGGUCCCAAAGUCAUGGUUAAGUGGGAAACGAUGUGGGAAGGCCCAGACAGCCAGGAUGUUGGCUUAGAAGCAGCCAUCAUUUAAAGAAAGCGUAAUAGCUCACUGGUCGAGUCGGCCUGCGCGGAAGAUGUAACGGGGCUAAACCAUGCACCGAAGCUGCGGCAGCGACGCUUAUGCGUUGUUGGGUAGGGGAGCGUUCUGUAAGCCUGUGAAGGUGUGCUGUGAGGUAUGCUGGAGGUAUCAGAAGUGCGAAUGCUGACAUAAGUAACGAUAAAGCGGGUGAAAAGCCCGCUCGCCGGAAGACCAAGGGUUCCUGUCCAACGUUAAUCGGGGCAGGGUGAGUCGACCCCUAAGGCGAGGCCGAAAGGCGUAGUCGAUGGGAAACAGGUUAAUAUUCCUGUACUUGGUGUUACUGCGAAGGGGGGACGGAGAAGGCUAUGUUGGCCGGGCGACGGUUGUCCCGGUUUAAGCGUGUAGGCUGGUUUUCCAGGCAAAUCCGGAAAAUCAAGGCCGAGGCGUGAUGACGAGGCACUACGGUGCUGAAGCAACAAAUGCCCUGCUUCCAGGAAAAGCCUCUAAGCAUCAGGUAACAUCAAAUCGUACCCCAAACCGACACAGGUGGUCAGGUAGAGAAUACCAAGGCGCUUGAGAGAACUCGGGUGAAGGAACUAGGCAAAAUGGUGCCGUAACUUCGGGAGAAGGCACGCUGAUACGUAGGUGAAGCGACUUGCUCGUGGAGCUGAAAUCAGUCGAAGAUACCAGCUGGCUGCAACUGUUUAUUAAAAACACAGCACUGUGCAAACACGAAAGUGGACGUAUACGGUGUGACGCCUGCCCGGUGCCGGAAGGUUAAUUGAUGGGGUUAGCGCAAGCGAAGCUCUUGAUCGAAGCCCCGGUAAACGGCGGCCGUAACUAUAACGGUCCUAAGGUAGCGAAAUUCCUUGUCGGGUAAGUUCCGACCUGCACGAAUGGCGUAAUGAUGGCCAGGCUGUCUCCACCCGAGACUCAGUGAAAUUGAACUCGCUGUGAAGAUGCAGUGUACCCGCGGCAAGACGGAAAGACCCCGUGAACCUUUACUAUAGCUUGACACUGAACAUUGAGCCUUGAUGUGUAGGAUAGGUGGGAGGCUUUGAAGUGUGGACGCCAGUCUGCAUGGAGCCGACCUUGAAAUACCACCCUUUAAUGUUUGAUGUUCUAACGUGGACCCGUGAUCCGGGUUGCGGACAGUGUCUGGUGGGUAGUUUGACUGGGGCGGUCUCCUCCUAAAGAGUAACGGAGGAGCACGAAGGUUGGCUAAUCCUGGUCGGACAUCAGGAGGUUAGUGCAAUGGCAUAAGCCAGCUUGACUGCGAGCGUGACGGCGCGAGCAGGUGCGAAAGCAGGUCAUAGUGAUCCGGUGGUUCUGAAUGGAAGGGCCAUCGCUCAACGGAUAAAAGGUACUCCGGGGAUAACAGGCUGAUACCGCCCAAGAGUUCAUAUCGACGGCGGUGUUUGGCACCUCGAUGUCGGCUCAUCACAUCCUGGGGCUGAAGUAGGUCCCAAGGGUAUGGCUGUUCGCCAUUUAAAGUGGUACGCGAGCUGGGUUUAGAACGUCGUGAGACAGUUCGGUCCCUAUCUGCCGUGGGCGCUGGAGAACUGAGGGGGGCUGCUCCUAGUACGAGAGGACCGGAGUGGACGCAUCACUGGUGUUCGGGUUGUCAUGCCAAUGGCACUGCCCGGUAGCUAAAUGCGGAAGAGAUAAGUGCUGAAAGCAUCUAAGCACGAAACUUGCCCCGAGAUGAGUUCUCCCUGACCCUUUAAGGGUCCUGAAGGAACGUUGAAGACGACGACGUUGAUAGGCCGGGUGUGUAAGCGCAGCGAUGCGUUGAGCUAACCGGUACUAAUGAACCGUGAGGCUUAACCUU